UACGUAGGGGGCGAGCGUUGUCCGGAAUUAUUGGGCGUAAAGGGUUCGUAGGCGGUAAUUUAAGUCAGGUGUGAAAGGCGCAGGCUCAACCUGUGUAAGCACUUGAAACUGGAUUACUUGAGUUAAGGAGAGGAAAGUGGAAUUCCUAGUGUAGCGGUGAAAUGCGUAGAUAUUAGGAGGAAUACCAGUGGCGAAGGCGACUUUCUGGACUUAUACUGACGCUGAGGAACGAAAGCGUGGGGAGCAAACA
rnacentral:rRNA from 1 species